UUUACCAGAAGCCGAAUAUAUUGAAUUAUUAUUAAUUUGUUUUAAGAAGACUAUUGGAAUCCUUAGUGCUUAUCAGAAAUUUGAAGUUAAGAACAACUUAUCUAUCCGUCCAGGACAUUAUACAAUAAAUAAUUCAUAAGCAGAUCGGCCAAAUUUGAGAUAGAUUUUACCAGAAGCCGAGUACAUUGAAUUGCUUCUCAUUUGUAUUAAGAAGACUAUUGGAAUCCUUACUGCGUAUC